UAACUUCAUCUACCGCAUCAAAGAGAUGAUUAGGGUAGAUAACAAACUUUUUCAACCACGAAAUUAUGCAGUCACUUUGCGUCCUAACCUCAAGGUGGAUUCAACCUAACCUCAAGGUGGAUUCAACCUAACCUCAAGGUUGAUUCUAUCCAACCUCAGCAGAUAUUAGUGAUGGAUGGAGAAAGGGCCGUUUCGAGACCUCAAGUCCUCAUAUAAGAACGUCUGUCCAUCUGUUUAAGACAGCAACAGAAUACAAUAUAUAAAAUGUAAUGAACUUCUGCAGAAUAUUUUGGAACAUUUAAAAUGUUUUAACAUUAAAAAAAUUAUAAAUAUCUA